rnacentral:ncRNA from 1 species
UCAUCAAGAGCAGCUGAGGGACUGGCCCGGUGACGUUGCGGCAACCUUCCUUGAGAAAGGUGCCAAAUCCAGCGAUAGUAUCGGUAAUGAUUAUGUCGAAAGAUGA